GCGGAUCCUCUAGCGGGUCGGGUCGGAUGGGUCGGGCAUGGCCAAAACGACGUCGUUUUGGGGCUUAAGUGUAGCCCCCAAAACGACGUCGUUUUGGAGGGCUAUAUAAGGCCUAAACUAACCAAAAAAAAAUCAUUUGGGGAGAGGGAAAGAAAAAAAAAAAGAGAGAGGGAAGAGAGAAGGGAGAGAGAAGGGAGGGGAAUCCGGCCAGGGGCCGGUCACCGGACGGCCACCGGAGGCUUGCCGGCGCCGGCGCCGGCCACCGCACGAGGUGGCCGGAAAAGGUAAAAAAAAUUUUUUUUUGUUUUUUUUUUAUUUGUUGUAUAUUUUUAUGUUAAAUAGAUAGAAAAUAAAGAAAUAUAUGUAUAUGUAUAUAAAAAUCGAAAGGAAAAAAGAAAAAAAUACAACCUUUUGUUUUUUCUUUUUGUUUUUAACAAUCACUGCUAUCUGUUUAUUGAAGACUGUAAAUUUCUCUUUAGUGUUUACAAAGUAGAAAAGAAGAAGAAAGAAAAAAAAAAGCCCCCCGUACAAUUUUUGAUUCGUGUUUUUAUAACCCAUUUUCAUCUAAUUUCCUAUUGUUUCUGUUUUGUCUCUUUGCAUGGGAUGGGCACGAUGGAGGUGACAGAGGCAUGGGGUGCAGACGGUGAUGGGCAUGCGUGGAUCCUCUAGCGGGUCGGGUCGGAUGGGUCGGGCAUGGCCAAAACGACGUCGUUUUGGGGCUUAAGUGUAGCCCCCAAAACGACGUCGUUUUGGAGGGCUAUAUAAGGCCUAAACUAACCAAAAAAAAAUCAUUUGGGGAGAGGGAAAGAAAAAAAAAAAGAGAGAGGGAAGAGAGAAGGGAGAGAGAAGGGAGGGGAAUCCGGCCAGGGGCCGGUCACCGGACGGCCACCGGAGGCUUGCCGGCGCCGGCGCCGGCCACCGCACGAGGUGGCCGGAAAAGGUAAAAAAAAUUUUUUUUGUUUUUUUUUUAUUUGUUGUAUAUUUUUAUGUUAAAUAGAUAGAAAAUAAAGAAAUAUAUGUAUAUGUAUAUAAAAAUCGAAAGGAAAAAAGAAAAAAAUACAACCUUUUGUUUUUUCUUUUUGUUUUUAACAAUCACUGCUAUCUGUUUAUUGAAGACUGUAAAUUUCUCUUUAGUGUUUACAAAGUAGAAAAGAAGAAGAAAGAAAAAAAAAAGCCCCCCGUACAAUUUUUGAUUCGUGUUUUUAUAACCCAUUUUCAUCUAAUUUCCUAUUGUUUCUGUUUUGUCUCUUUGCAUGGGAUGGGCACGAUGGAGGUGACAGAGGCAUGGGGUGCAGACGGUGAUGGGCAUGCGUGGAGGCUGGCGCGGAGCAGAGGCGUGCGAGGUUGAGUGGUUGCGCACAUGGGGCAACGGCGCAAGUGGGCAAGUGGGGGGGUUUGCUGGUAUGGGCCCGGGCAGAUUUUGGGCUUUACAAAUAGCACUUAUUAUGUUUGGUUAAACCAAGUCUUAAUUUUGUUAGUAUUGAUAUUAUUCUCAAUUUAGAGGAUGCGGAUCUGAGUACAUUGAAGUGCGUUUAUCCUCCUAAUUAAGGACCGUGGAAGGGUUAUGGGCAGUUCUGGACAUUAUAUCAAAAAAUAUUUGUUCGAUUAACUUCAAUUACUAGUCAUGUACUACGUGCACAGUUGUAGAUUUAGUCUAUAUUCUUUAAUUGGAUCUUUCUAAGUCUAUACUUUUCGAAUUUUGAAAUAUCAAUCUUGACUAAAUGAUAGUCGUUAAUCUAUUAACUGAAUUUUUAGUUAGAAAUAUGUAAAAAUAACAAGCUGCCAUAGUAUUACACAUAUGAUAAUAUGUUUGCCAUAUUAAAAUUUGAAAAUAAUAAAACUUAACUGAACAAAUUUAAUAAUUAUUAUUUGAUGAGGUGUAAAAUUU
rnacentral:lncRNA from 1 species